GCAUCUGGCAUCACCACUUCCAGUUCUGUUUUUCCACCCCAUCAAAACCCCUAAUUCCCAAUCCCAUUUCCAUCUGAUUCACCCUGCAAGGGUUCAGGAUUAUUCUCAAAAAUGGCGUUCGUUUCAAAUUUCCGCCGAGUUAUUAGCAAUGGGUUAACGAGGACUUCAUUAUUAUCACAAGUUCGCGACAGUUCAACCUUGACAACCCCUAGACUUUUCGUCAGUGGUCUUUCAAGGAUGACCACAGACGAAAAGCUAAAAGAAGCAUUUUCCCCAUUUGGUCAGCUUCUGGAAGCAAAUGUCAUUACAGACAGAGCAUCUGGAAGGUCAAAGGGGUUUGGUUUUGUCAGAUAUGCAACUAUAGAAGAUGCAGAAAGGGCUCAACAAGGGAUGAACGCGAAGUACUUGGAUGGUUGGGUUAUCUUUGUUGAUCCUGCAAAACCAAGAGAACCAAGACCACGACCUCAGCCAGAGCCUGAGGCUUCUCAAACUGGUUUCAGAGUAAACAAGACAGUUGGAUGGUGUGGUAAUUAGUUAGCAGAGUGGAUACCGCAAUUCAUAGCUAUUAAACUUUGAUCUAAUAUGUAUAAAACAUCAGCAGAUCAGCUGCUAAGAAUAAUAAAGAAGAUACUGCUGGAGUUCCAAUCCGAGAAUUUACAGAGCGUGAGAAACCAAGGCUACUUUUGGUGGAAUACUGUCACGGAAUAGCUGUUCGGUACUGGCAUAAAGGAGCCAUUGGUCAAAAUUGUCGGUCUGCCAAGAAUUUCUCAAAUUAUCAUGCAAUUUGCACAUGCUUUUUUUUACUGC